AUUGAACGCUGGCGGCAGGCUUAACACAUGCAAGUCGAACGAGCGGCGGACGGGUGAGUAAUGCAUGGGAAUCUGGCUGAUGGAGGGGGAUAACUACUGGAAACUGUAGCUAAUACCGCGUACCAUAGGCUGAGCCCAAAGGUGAUUCGGUAGUUGGUGUGGUAAAGGCGCACCAAGGCGACGAUCCCUAGCUGGUCUGGGAGGAUGACCAGCCACACUGGGACUGAGACACGGCCCAGACUCCUACGUGAGGCAGCAGUGGGGAAUAUUGCGCAAUGGGGGCAACCUGAUGCAGCCAUGCCGCGUGAGUGAAGAAGGCCUUCGGGUUGUAAAGUUCUUUCGGUGGCGAGGCGUUACCUACAGAAGAAGCACCGGCUAACUCCGUGCCAGCAGCCGCGGUAAUUC
rnacentral:rRNA from 1 species